GAAAGGCGACGUUGAAGGAGAGCAAACGGAAUGCUUAAUGUGUAAGGAAAAUGGGAAUGAGUGAAGAAAUGGGGAAAGGAUUAGAAGAGGAAAACGGGAAUGAGUGAAGAAAUAGGGAAAGGAGUAGAAGAGGAAAAUGGGAAUGAGUGAAGAAAUAGGGAAAGGAGUAGAAGAGGAAAAUGGGAAUGAGCGAAGAAAUCGAUUGUUGAAAAUGGGAGUUUUGUCGAACAGGAUUUCCAGAGAAGAGUUAAAGCCUGGCGAUCACAUCUACUCGUGGAGGCACGCCUACA
rnacentral:lncRNA from 1 species